AAAAAAAGUGGUUGUGUGCAGUACAUGCACUCAUCCCUUGUACUUCAUGUACUGCAAAUACAAUGCACCAUAUAUCAAAACCCUGCAAGAAGCAAUGGUCCUAAUCCCCAAAUCAAAAUUUUGAACUUCACGAGUCCUUGCUUCCUCUUUCAUCCAUGCGUCCAUUCCGCCAUGCGUUUCAUCAUAUAAUCAGAUAACUUCUGUGUGGUUCAGCGUAAUGGAGAGGCUCACUUAUUGCUACCACAAAGUGGGUGUCACUGAGGGAUUGCGCAUGCUUGCAUUGGGUAAUGAAUUCCAACCACACCGAGUGGGAGCCACGACUGAGGAGUGAGUUGCAGAUGCUUGCAUUAAGAAAUGAAUCCCAAUGCUCAUGUCUUUAUGAUGGAAUUGUUUGAUGAAACUUUGUUCCUUUGAAACUACUUUGUUUAGAAUUUUAAAAUUUUGAUUUUUAAAUAUUUUUGGUCAAGUUUUGGUGCCAAAAAUAUUUUGGUGAUGAUAUGGGUGUGGGGUGAUUGAUUAUAAAAAUGUUUCAUAUUUCACAAA